CCUACGGGUGGCCGCAGUGAGGAAUAUUGGUCAAUGGGCGCAAGCCUGAACCAGCCAAGUCGCGUGAGGGAUGACGGUCCUAUGGAUUGUAAACCUCUUUUGUCGGGGAGCAAGGCCCGCCACGUGUGGCGGGAAGGAGAGUACCCGAAGAAAAAGCAUCGGCUAACUCCGUGCCAGCGGCCGCGGUAAUACGGGGGUUGCGGGCGUUAUCGGGAUUUAUUGGGUUUAAAGGGUGCGUAGGCGGAAGGUUAAUUCAUCGGUCAAAUGUCGGUGCUCAACACCGGCUGGCAGUUGAUACUGGUCUUCUUGAGUGAGCGAGAAGUAUGCGGAAUGCGUGGUGUAGCGGUGAAAUGCAUAGAUAUCACGCAGAACUCCGAUUGCGAAGGCAGCAUACCGGCGCUCAACUGACGCUGAGGCACGAAAGCGUGGGGAUCGAACAGGAUUAGAUACCCGGGUAGUC
rnacentral:rRNA from 1 species